rnacentral:rRNA from 1 species
UACGUAGGGUCCGAGCGUUGUCCGGAAUUACUGGGCGUAAAGAGCUCGUAGGUGGUUUGUCGCGUUGUUCGUGAAAACUCACAGCUCAACUGUGGGCGUGCGGGCGAUACGGGCAGACUUGAGUACUGCAGGGGAGACUGGAAUUCCUGGUGUAGCGGUGGAAUGCGCAGAUAUCAGGAGGAACACCGGUGGCGAAGGCGGUUCUCUGGGCCUUACCUGACGCUGAGGAGCGAAAGCAUGGGGAGCAAACAGG